rnacentral:rRNA from 1 species
GAUUAAGUUAUUAAGGGCGCACGGUGGAUGCCUUGGCACUAGAAGCCGAUGAAGGACGUUACUAACGACGAUAUGCUUUGGGGAGCUGUAAGUAAGCUUUGAUCCAGAGAUUUCCGAAUGGGGAAACCCAGCAUGAGUUAUGUCAUGUUAUCGAUAUGUGAAUACAUAGCAUAUCAGAAGGCACACCCGGAGAACUGAAACAUCUUAGUACCCGGAGGAAGAGAAAGAAAAUUCGAUUCCCUUAGUAGCGGCGAGCGAAACGGGAAGAGCCCAAACCAACAAGCUUGCUUGUUGGGGUUGUAGGACACUCUAUACGGAGUUACAAAGGACGACAUUAGACGAAUCAUCUGGAAAGAUGAUCAAAGAAGGUAAUAAUCCUGUAGUCGAAAAUGUUGUCUCUCUUGAGUGGAUCCUGAGUACGACGGAGCACGUGAAAUUCCGUCGGAAUCUGGGAGGACCAUCUCCUAAGGCUAAAUACUCUCUAGUGACCGAUAGUGAACCAGUACCGUGAGGGAAAGGUGAAAAGCACCCCGGAAAGGGGAGUGAAAUAGAACCUGAAACCGUGUGCUUACAAGUAGUCAGAGCCCGUUAAUGGGUGAUGGCGUGCCUUUUGUAGAAUGAACCGGCGAGUUACGAUUUGAUGCAAGGUUAAGCAGUAAAUGUGGAGCCGUAGCGAAAGCGAGUCUGAAUAGGGCGUUUAGUAUUUGGUCGUAGACCCGAAACCAGGUGAUCUACCCUUGGUCAGGUUGAAGUUCAGGUAACACUGAAUGGAGGACCGAACCGACUUACGUUGAAAAGUGAGCGGAUGAACUGAGGGUAGCGGAGAAAUUCCAAUCGAACCUGGAGAUAGCUGGUUCUCUCCGAAAUAGCUUUAGGGCUAGCCUCAAGUGAUGAUUAUUGGAGGUAGAGCACUGUUUGGACGAGGGGCCCCUCUCGGGUUACCGAAUUCAGACAAACUCCGAAUGCCAAUUAAUUUACUUGGGAGUCAGAACAUGGGUGAUAAGGUCCGUGUUCGAAAGGGAAACAGCCCAGCCACCAGCUAAGGUCCCAAAAUAUAUGUUAAGUGGAAAAGGAUGUGGCGUUGCCCAGACAACUAGGAUGUUGGCUUAGAAGCAGCCAUCAUUUAAAGAGUGCGUAAUAGCUCACUAGUCGAGUGACACUGCGCCGAAAAUGUACCGGGGCUAAACAUAUUACCGAAGCUGUGGAUUGUCCUUUGGACAAUGGUAGGAGAGCGUUCUAAGGGCGUUGAAGCAUGAUCGUAAGGACAUGUGGAGCGCUUAGAAGUGAGAAUGCCGGUGUGAGUAGCGAAAGACGGGUGAGAAUCCCGUCCACCGAUUGACUAAGGUUUCCAGAGGAAGGCUCGUCCGCUCUGGGUUAGUCGGGUCCUAAGCUGAGGCCGACAGGCGUAGGCGAUGGAUAACAGGUUGAUAUUCCUGUACCACCUAUAAUCGUUUUAAUCGAUGGGGGGACGCAGUAGGAUAGGCGAAGCGUGCGAUUGGAUUGCACGUCUAAGCAGUAAGGCUGAGUAUUAGGCAAAUCCGGUACUCGUUAAGGCUGAGCUGUGAUGGGGAGAAGACAUUGAGUCUUCGAGUCGUUGAUUUCACACUGCCGAGAAAAGCCUCUAGAUAGAAAAUAGGUGCCCGUACCGCAAACCGACACAGGUAGUCAAGAUGAGAAUUCUAAGGUGAGCGAGCGAACUCUCGUUAAGGAACUCGGCAAAAUGACCCCGUAACUUCGGGAGAAGGGGUGCUCUUUAGGGUUAACGCCCAGAAGAGCCGCAGUGAAUAGGCCCAAGCGACUGUUUAUCAAAAACACAGGUCUCUGCUAAACCGUAAGGUGAUGUAUAGGGGCUGACGCCUGCCCGGUGCUGGAAGGUUAAGAGGAGUGGUUAGCUUCUGCGAAGCUACGAAUCGAAGCCCCAGUAAACGGCGGCCGUAACUAUAACGGUCCUAAGGUAGCGAAAUUCCUUGUCGGGUAAGUUCCGACCCGCACGAAAGGCGUAACGAUUUGGGCACUGUCUCAACGAGAGACUCGGUGAAAUCAUAGUACCUGUGAAGAUGCAGGUUACCCGCGACAGGACGGAAAGACCCCGUGGAGCUUUACUGUAGCCUGAUAUUGAAAUUCGGCACAGCUUGUACAGGAUAGGUAGGAGCCUUUGAAACGUGAGCGCUAGCUUACGUGGAGGCGCUGGUGGGAUACUACCCUAGCUGUGUUGGCUUUCUAACCCGCACCACUUAUCGUGGUGGGAGACAGUGUCAGGCGGGCAGUUUGACUGGGGCGGUCGCCUCCUAAAAGGUAACGGAGGCGCUCAAAGGUUCCCUCAGAAUGGUUGGAAAUCAUUCAUAGAGUGUAAAGGCAUAAGGGAGCUUGACUGCGAGACCUACAAGUCGAGCAGGGUCGAAAGACGGACUUAGUGAUCCGGUGGUUCCGCAUGGAAGGGCCAUCGCUCAACGGAUAAAAGCUACCCCGGGGAUAACAGGCUUAUCUCCCCCAAGAGUUCACAUCGACGGGGAGGUUUGGCACCUCGAUGUCGGCUCAUCGCAUCCUGGGGCUGUAGUCGGUCCCAAGGGUUGGGCUGUUCGCCCAUUAAAGCGGUACGCGAGCUGGGUUCAGAACGUCGUGAGACAGUUCGGUCCCUAUCCGUCGUGGGCGUAGGAAAUUUGAGAGGAGCUGUCCUUAGUACGAGAGGACCGGGAUGGACAUACCUCUGGUGUACCAGUUGUCGUGCCAACGGCAUAGCUGGGUAGCUAUGUGUGGACGGGAUAAGUGCUGAAAGCAUCUAAGCAUGAAGCCCCCCUCAAGAUGAGAUUUCCCAACUUCGGUUAUAAGAUCCCUCAAAGAUGAUGAGGUUAAUAGGUUCGAGGUGGAAGCAUGGUGACAUGUGGAGCUGACGAAUACUAAUCGAUCGAAGACUUAAUCAA